rnacentral:misc_RNA from 1 species
UUUCCGUAGGUGAACCUGCGGAAGGAUCAUUGUCGAAACCUGCCCAGCAGAACGACCCGCGAACUUGUAUAAACAACUGGGGGCGGGGGGGGCGUUCUCGCCCCGUGCCCUCGAACGGCGGGGAGACACUCGUGCCUUCCUGCCGAACAACGAACCCCGGCGCGGGCUGCGCCAAGGAACUUCAACUAAAGAGUGCCUACGGUCGCCUCGGAAACGGCGUGCGUGCCGGAGGCGAAUCUUGUGCAAAACCAUAACGACUCUCGGCAACGGAUAUCUCGGCUCUC